rnacentral:rRNA from 1 species
UACGGAGGGAGCUAGCGUUGCUCGGAAUUACUGGGCGUAAAGGGCGCGUAGGCGGACAGUUUAGUCAGAGGUGAAAGCCCAGGGCUCAACCUUGGAAUUGCCUUUGAUACUGGCUGUCUUGAGUUCGGGAGAGGUGAGUGGAAUGCCGAGUGUAGAGGUGAAAUUCGUAGAUAUUCGGCGGAACACCAGUGGCGAAGGCGACUCACUGGCCCGAUACUGACGCUGAGGCGCGAAAGCGUGGGGAGCAAACAGG